rnacentral:miRNA from 1 species
CAUUAGUAGGUUGGUGCAAAAAUAAUCACGGUUUUUGCCUAUUGCUUUUAAGAGCAAAAAUCACAGUUACUUUUGCACCAAUUUAAUA